UGGCUUUCCCAGUUCUUCCUGGCUUCAGGGGCCCUUCCUCCGGAAGGAAAUCUCCUCGGUUCCAGUGAAAGUUCUCGAGCUGCUGAAGUCAUCGAGUCCUCGGGCCUCUCCUCACGCCCACUCCCCAGCCCCUCCCCUCCAAGUGCCCGCCGUGGAGCCAGGCUGCCCCGGAAGGAUCUGACCGGCAAUUUCCUAGAAUUGUCUGCCUGGGGCUCCUCGGUCCGUCCGCCGCCCGCCCCACCUUCCCCACCUCAUCUCUUCGUCUGCCUUCCCCAAAGCCCCCGUCUCUCUGGACAGCCCAGCCCCCACCCAGAUCUAACUUGUUGGGCCCCGCAGUUGUCCUCAGCAUUUCCACUUUCUUCUGGGACUGUCACUACCCCUGGGAGGAGCCGUGGGGCGGGGGUUGGGCGUCCACAUGGCCACCAGGGCCCAUCAGGAAGUUGGGUGCGCUGGGGUUACCAAGGCAACCAUCCUUCUGUGAGGCUUUUCCAGAACUCUUCAUCCCCAGCCCAGGAGGGUGACGAUUUGACUGGGUUUGCUCCCUCUCCUGAUAAAUCAAAUUUGCCUGAGGCCCAAAAGGGUGGGCAGGGAGCACAGGACAUCAGGGAGGGUCAUUCGACCAGCGGGAGAACGAUGUACCCUUUCCUCAGCCCCAGACCACCUCUGGAGAAUCGGGGAGCAGUGUCCCCAAGGCAGACCUCCAAGCCCACCCCUACCUCCAGUCUAGCCGGGUUGGGUGUGGACUUCAGGAAGAGGCUUGGGGAGUUCAGGGGAGGGGCCUGUCGGCACUUGAUGGAUGGUACUGAAGAAAUGUCUGGCACUUUCUUUCCCCAUGGGGGAGGUGAAGUUGCAGCCACCUCUCCCCCGCAUUCGCAUUCCUGCCUGCACGCUCUGGAAGGGGGUGGGGUGGGUGGCUGGAGCCGGGAAAGAAGGGCCCUUAGCCCAACCGAGAGUCAUUUGGGAAACUAUCACUCACAUUUGUCUACACUGGCAUGGGAAAGGACGGGCAGGUGGGCAACUCCCAAAUUUCUACUGAGGUAA
rnacentral:lncRNA from 1 species